AGUGAACGCUGGCGGUAGGCCUAACACAUGCAAGUCGAACGGCAGCACAGUAAGAGCUUGCUCUUACGGGUGGCGAGUGGCGGACGGGUGAGGAAUACAUCGGAAUCUACUUUUUCGUGGGGGAUAACGUAGGGAAACUUACGCUAAUACCGCAUACGACCUACGGGUGAAAGCAGGGGAUCUUCGGACCUUGCGCGAUUGAAUGAGCCGAUGUCGGAUUAGCUAGUUGGCGGGGUAAAGGCCCACCAAGGCGACGAUCCGUAGCUGGUCUGAGAGGAUGAUCAGCCACACUGGAACUGAGACACGGUCCAGACUCCUACGGGAGGCAGCAGUGGGGAAUAUUGGACAAUGGGCGCAAACCUGAUCCAGCCAUACCGCUUGGGUGAAGAACGCCUUCGGGUUGUAAAGCCCUUUUGUUGGGAAAGAAAAGCAGCAGGUUAAUACCCCGCUGUUCUGACGGUACCCAAAGAAUAAGCACCGGCUAACUUCGUG
rnacentral:rRNA from 1 species